AUUGCGAUAAGUAAUGUGAAUUGCAGAUUUCCAGUGAAUCAUCGAAUCUUUGAACGCACCUUGCGCUCCUUGGUAUUCCGAGGAGCAUGCCUGUUUGAGUGUCAUCGAAUUCUCAACCAUGAACUUUGAGAUCAUGGCUUGGAGUUGGAAGUUGCUGGCCGGAAGGUCAGCUCUUCUUAAACGGAUUAGCGAUCGAGUUGGCUAGUCUUUGACGUACACGGCCUUGGACGUGAUAAUGAUCGUCCUGGCUGGAGCGUCUUUUUUGUAGACUAUGCACACGGAUGGCUUCUAAUAAGAAUGGUCGAGCGAGCUUAGCUAUUAGGCAGUCUGCUGUUUGUUAAGGCAAGGCAAGGCUGGCGAACGCAAGCGCAAGCGCAAGCGCAAGCUUGAAUUAUGGACCAUGAUCAGUGACUUGACCUCAAAUCAGGUAGGACUACCCGCUGAACUUAA
rnacentral:rRNA from 1 species